rnacentral:lncRNA from 1 species
AAGAAGAAAAAAAAAAAAAACAAAAAAACACAAUGAGAAGUGCCUGUGUGCAAGCAACGUGGUGCAGAGCUGCUGGCGCCUGCGGCUGAGCCCAGACGUGGGCACGGAGGGGGGGACGCGGAGGUGGCCCCACGCAGAGUUUGUCCCACUGGGAAGGGUGGUGGGAGGGAGGAGAGGCAGCCUGCAGGGCAAGCUGUUCCUCCUGGAGGCGGUUUUGGGUCCAGCAUCCUCACAUCUCUUUGCUCCCCUAAGGGCAGCCCCGCUCACCGACCCCUGUCCCCCUUCUUCUGCCUCCCCGCAAAGGGAAGGAAGCACAAACCCAGUCCCGCCAGCCAGCGGGGUGCUGGUUUCUCCUGUUUUCAGCUAAUUCCUCCGGAAAAUAAUUACACCCCACAUACUUCACGUGAGCAGACAAUUGCCUCUUCUCUCCGAGGCUCCUCCGCAAACUCCCUGCGGCUAUUCCGAGGGCCGGGCUUGCUGUGUGCCCAAUCCCCCGGGCAGGAGGAGGCUGCGGUGGCACGGGGCCCAUCCCCAGCCAUGCCAAGGAAUAAAAUCCAGGAGCAGAACUUCCUCUCCGGCUGGGAAACGAGACCGAGCACGGCGACACCAUCCCAGCUCUGCCCACAUCACCCUGGCUUCGCCCAAACCCCUCCAGCACCUUGGUUUCCCUGUUUAUUUUCCAGGCUUGGCAUUGCCAAAUUUUCGGGUCUGAUUUGCGAAGGGAGACGAGCGAAAAUUCCCAGGCUCCACGCUGCGUGACAGAGCCCCUGGAAAGGGCCCAAGAGAUAACGCCUCUGCGCUGCAGCGUCACGAGGCCGAGCCAGCACCAAGCACAAAACGGCCCGUGUCCAUUCAUCCCUCAAAAAUAAUGAAUUAAUUAAAAAAUGGUGCGAGCAAAAAAGCCCGAGCUCACGCCGUGCGCCUGGGAAGCUGCUCUCUGGAGCCCUCCCGCCGGGUGAGGAAGGAUGGGGAAGUUCUCUCAGUGUGGGACUGGGUCCCUGGAGCCUGGGGGGGGGGGGAAAUUGGGGUGUCCUGGAGACCCCCUCU